rnacentral:rRNA from 1 species
GGAUUCCCCUAGUAACGGCGAGUGAAGCGGGAAGAGCUCAAAUUUAAAAUCUGGCGGUUCACCGUCCGAGUUGUAGUCUAGAGAAGCAUCAUCUACGCUGGACCAUGUACAAGUCUCUUGGAACAGAGCGUCAUAGAGGGUGAGAAUCCCGUCCUUGACAUGGACUCCCAGUGUUCUGUGUUGUGCUCUCAACGAGUCGAGUUGUUUGGGAAUGCAGCUCAAAAUGGGUGGGUAAAUUCCAUCUAAAGCUAA